rnacentral:snRNA from 1 species
GUGCUCACUUGGGCAGCACAUAUACUGAAAUUGGAACGAUACAGAGACGAUUAGCAUGGUCCCUGAGCAAGGAUGACCCGCAAGUUCGUGAAGCGUUCCCGUAUUUA